rnacentral:lncRNA from 1 species
AAUAUAAAAUAAAAUAACCUGAUGUUGGGAGAGUUGUGAGGAAGAAAAUGAAGAAGAAGAAAAUGGAUCAAGAUCAUGAUCAAGAAGGCCCAAAUAUCUAAGAGCUUUAUCACCAGACUCAACACAGGUAACUGCUUUUGAGGGUAUAAUUGAAAGAAGAAGAAAAUAAACCAGUUAUAAAAUUAUUAGAUGAAAUAAAUAAAUAAGUGGAUAAAUAUAUAAUAUAAAGAUUGUACCUUGACAUGAAGAAAUUGUUAAGAGCUUUUCCAAAAGCUUUCUAUCAAUUAGACUAUCAUCAACAGCCAAUACAUGGAAAUGGUGGUGGUGUUCUUCUUCUACUUUCUCCUCAACUUCUGUUUUCUUCAACUCCAUUUUCCUUCUUCUACCUUCUUCUUCUUCUUCUUCUUCUUCUUCUUCUUCUUCUUCUUCUUCCUCUUCUUCCUCUUCCUCCUCCUCUUCCUCUUCUUCUCCCUCUUCUUCUCUUCAAGAUCAGAAGCCUGUAGCUAGAAUGAUGAAUAUCCAAGAAAAAUAUAGUUAUAUUAUUAUUUUAUUUUUCAAAAUCUCAAAAUUAUAAUGGUUUUGACAUUAUAGGGGAAAUUUUAGAAGAAAGGAGGAAAAAAUGGGAGCUAGAGGUGGUGGGGUGUGGUAAUAUUGGAGGUUUUCAUGAAGAAGUGGGUGUGGAGAGGAAAAGGAAAAGAAAGAAAAAGAAAAAAUAGUUAGGGAUCAAGUAAGUAUAGU